AAGGCCUUAAGUUAAACACAAACUAAUAACCUUCAAAGCUAUAAAUAAAGGGAGUCUCAGCCUUUAGGCCUUG
rnacentral:tRNA from 1 species